AGUUGACUCCCAGGCUUGCCCUAUCCUCUCUUUUAAAAAGGACUUAUUGGGGAAAAGUAUGGAAAGUCAAAAGAAGAGAUGAGAAAGCCAAGAAUGAAAGCAGGAAGCACCUGGAGAGACCAGCAUGAGAACUGUUCAGAAGGCUUUGGCUGAUGGAAGGGCAGAAGCCAUUGUAUAAAUCUACCUUGACAACCUAGCAAUGUAGAUGACAAAAAGAGGAGGCAAUUAAUCCCCAAGAAAGAAGUGGAAUUUUGUGAGAUGGAGUCAGAGGCUUGUCAAGAGCCUAGAAUAAUAAAUUUGCAGCAACCCAGUGCAAAGAGUUUGGGAAGGAAGUGGCAUCAGGCUCAUGAUCUACAACCUACCAGGAAUCCCAUAGCAAUGAAGACAACCUCUUUCUUUAAACUGGAGCAACUUAAUAUACUCUUUGGGAUAAUUGUGAUUUAGAGAGACAGACACAGUUUCAAACAGGGGUUCCUUAUUUUUAUUGUCUCCCUUUCUCUUAUGGCCUGAAGUCUUGUGAAAGUCUAUGGAAUCCUGUUUAAAAUCUUAUUAUGUAACUCAUAAAAUAAAGGGCAGGACAGGUGUUGGGUCCUGUACCAAAUGACCCAUGGGAGCUGAUUGUUAAAUUUUCUUUGUGAGGAAUUAUACCUUGGCAAUACACAAACCUUACAAA